UACGUAGGGGGGCAAGCGUUGUCCGGAUUUAUUGGGCGUAAAGAGCGUGUAGGCGGUCAGGUAGGUCCGUUGUGAAAACUCGAGGCUCAACCUCGAGACGCCGAUGGAAACCAUCUGACUAGAGUCCGGAAGAGGAGAGUGGAAUUCCUGGUGUAGCGGUAAAAUGCGCAGAUAUCAGGAAGAACACCCGUGGCUAAGGCGGCUCUCUAGUACGGUACUGACGCUGAGACGCGAAAGCGUGGGGAGCGAACAGG
rnacentral:rRNA from 1 species